rnacentral:rRNA from 1 species
UACGGAGGGUGCGAGCGUUAAUCGGAAUUACUGGGCGUAAAGGGUGCGUAGGUGGUUGGAUAAGUUAUCUGUGAAAGCCCCGGGCUCAACCUGGGAAGGUCAGAUAAGACUGUUCGACUCGAGUAUAGGAGAGGGUAGUGGAAUUUCCGGUGUAGCGGUGAAAUGCGUAGAGAUCGGAAGGAACACCAGUGGCGAAGGCGGCUAUCUGGCCUGAUACUGACACUGAAGCACGAAAGCGUGGGGAGCAAACAGG